GGUCUUGAAUUUUGUAGCCUCAAUACGUAGUUAGAUAAUGUCUUUCGGGACUAUGGCGAUAAACGCGCCCGUAAUAAGCGGAUCGGACCCGGGGGCGGUACCCGGCGGCUCCACCAAACAUCCUUCAUUAGCAGGAUCUUGGGGCCGAAAUAGGAUCGACGGACGUCUAAAGGGGUUAGCUUUUGCUCGGCAGGACGCCACCGUUACCGGCUCAAGCUUUAUAGUUGCUAAUGACAACAAAGCUCCGGUUGCGCUCGCUGCCUAAGCAGUGCGCAAGACCAAAUCUUAAGUCCUAGCCUCUAGCAAGGUUAGGCGGGGUUCGCAGGCACCUGGCAACAGAAGCCUGCAUU
rnacentral:tmRNA from 1 species